CACCUCGAUGGCCAUACUGAUAUAAUACACGUUCAACUGUAUAACCAUUGGCUACCAUGGGCAACGAAACGAAGAGACUUUCUCCUGCGACGUUAUUGGAGAAGAGAAGAUGAUGGCACAUACGUGAUUCUGUACCAUUCCGUGGUCCACAAAAAGUGUCCGCCCCAAAGUGGAUAUGUUCGUGCUUGCCUUAAAAGUAAUGUAC